UACGUAGGGGGCAAGCGUUGUUCGGAUUUACUGGGCGUAAAGGGCGCGUAGGCGGCAAUUCAAGUCAUCUGUGAAAUCUCCGGGCUUAACUCGGAACGGUCAGAUGAUACUGCUUUGCUAGAGUGCAGAAGGGGCAAUCGGAAUUCUUGGUGUAGCGGUGAAAUGCGUAGAUAUCAAGAGGAACACCUGAGGUGAAGACGGGUUGCUGGGCUGACACUGACGCUGAGGCGCGAAAGCCAGGGGAGCAAACGGG
rnacentral:rRNA from 1 species